rnacentral:rRNA from 1 species
UGCCAGAAUCAUAUGCUUGUCCCGAAGAAUCAAGCCAUGCAUGCCCAUGAGAAAUGAACGGCCAAACUGUGGUCCUGGAGAGCUACCCGCUCCCGGGCCCGACCUGGUUGUAAGGAUUCAGCGAACGGCUCCGCAUAUCUGUUGUCACCUAUCGUGGUAAAUUGGCGUGGAUAGAGCACGGAAAAGCUGUGUAUAACACAGACAAGAUGGGGCAAACGCAGAGUAGAUGGCCCUUGCUCAGCGGAUAAAUGGGCCGUAAGUACGUCGGCCCUGCCUCUUAAAGAGCUCCUAUAUAGCGUACCGCCAAUAAACCGUGCGGGGAAGCUUUAAUGCGGAGGCCUCUGCCUGGGGAGGUCGCUGUCCAAAUCCCGGAACUUCACAGUAGACACCCAACUAUGUAGAGACUAACCACUAGCGCACGAUGGACUUCAGACCUAUCAGCUAGAUGGUAGGGUAUUGGCCUACCAUGGCCAUGACGGGUACAGAGGAUUAGGGUUUGAUCCUGGAGAGGUAGCCUGAGAAAUCGCUCCCACUUCUAAGGAAGGCAGCAGGCGCGUAACGUUCCCAAUGCUAAGUACAGUGAGGACGUAAUGGGACAUAACAAUGCCUCUUUUAAUAGUGGGCAAUGACAAUGGGCGGGCUAAA